AGUCAUCUGAAGAGUCCCAAAUAAGACGAAACGCGCGUUCUGGAU
rnacentral:hammerhead_ribozyme from 1 species